CCCUUCUAAAGUAAAAUCUAAAUGCCGACAUCUUAUAAGAGGUUGGAUUGUGGGACCAGAGCAUUCGAAAGCAUUCAAAAAAUGCAGCAUUAGAGCAUUUGAAAAAUGGAAAUUUCUUGAGCAAUGUAAAAAUAAACGGAGUAUUUCCAAUGUCCAUCUUUAACGUCUCCUUGCCAAUUGCUUCAAAGAAGGUUUUACGGGAUACUAAAUGAAUAUGUUUGAAGGAGGCUGUAGCAGAUGCUAGAAGAUCUUUUUAUAAGAUAGUUAAUUCUCUAACCGCUAUGGAGGAAGACUUGCAGCAGAUCCAAGACCAAGGGACCUUAUGUGAGGACUUGAUGACCAGAUAUGAAAACCUAUGUAGACGCUUAAGAGCAGAUUAUAUCAAGAAAAUUAAAUGGAUAUUCAUAAAACAAAGAGUCCUAAGAAGGAACACGCAGCUGCCUCUUGAGAAGGUUAUUACCGUUGUAGGAGACAUAACCGUACCACAAUAUGCAGAACAGUUGUUUAAGAAAGGUCCGAUGUAUGCAGAAUGGAAUUCCAGAUUUUAACAUCAUGAUUAUGGGAAUUGAUUCUUGAUGCAUGAAUUCUUACUCUGAGCAUACUCCAGUAGCAAAUUAACUCAUAAAAUCAAAAACUACCUGUAUUGAUAUUUAACCAAAAUGAAC
rnacentral:lncRNA from 1 species